UAAAAGUUUGAUUUUUGAUUUUAAACUUUUUUUUUAGUUUAAUGUGCAUGUAAAAUUUUAUGAGUUUGUAUUUUCUAAAUGAUUAAUAUAUUAUUUUCAGUGCUUGUUAUUUAUUUAUUAUUAAUUUAAUUUAAGUAAAUCUAUUGAGAACUAAAAAAUGUUGUGCCAGCAUUUGCGGUUAAACAACAGGUUCAUGAAAAGUAUUAUUGGAAUUACAGUUUAAUAUAUUUUAAUUUUUGGUAUUUGGGUGAAAUUUAUAUCUUUUUUUUUUUUAUUGCUGUUUAAGAUUGAUAAAAAACCAGGAUUAGAUACCCUGUUAUUCAAUUAAAGUUAUUUCCAAGGUAGUAGAUUUAAAGUUUGAAAUUUAAUGAAUCUGGCGGUUUUUAAAUCUUUUUAGAGGAACCUGUAAUUUAAAUGAUAGUCCACGAUUAAUUUUACCUUUAAUUUCUUGUAUAUCGCUGUCGUUGAAUGUAAUGAAAAUUUAUUUUCUUUUUCUUUUGAAGAUUUAUGUUAGGUCAAGGUGCAGUUAUUUAAAGGUUAUUAUGGGUUACAUUAUUUUUUGUUUUUUGAUAGUUUAUUUGAUUAAAUUUUGAUUUUGGAUUUAAAAGUAAUUUUGUUUAUUAAGUAUUUUGAAUUUAAGCUCUUAAUUAUGUACAUAUCGCCCGUCACUCUCAAUUAAUUGAGAUAAGUCGUAACAAAGUAGAUGUACUGGAAAGUGUAUCUAGAAUC
rnacentral:ncRNA from 1 species